rnacentral:lncRNA from 13 species
UGCCAAGUGAUGUCAGAAACCAGGGUUAGGCCUUGAAGGCUAGCAUGCAAGUGCUGUUGGCUAGCUCGCAAGGACAGCAACCUGCCUCCACCAACAGAAAGCAGCCCCGCACAUGCGUUCACGCACGGUGUCUUGUUGUGUGCCUAAGAAUGGUGUGCCGAUUUUCUGAAUUUGCAAGUGUAUCAUCAGGACAGGCGGAAACAUAAAAGCAAGACGGUGGAUCUGAGCUCCAUCCUGGCAGUCGGCACAGGCCCCUUCACAGCACAGCGUCAGCUUCACCAUCAGCCAGUUAGUGUGUGGGGUGUGGACGACACAGCCGGA